ensembl:lncRNA
CCCGUCAUCCCAUGAGGACGUUCCGCUUACUGUACCUUCAGCGCAACUGAAUCCUCAAGAGGCAUUUGAAAAGUUUGUGGAGAGGCUUUCAUCUCUAAAUGCCUCUGGUCCUUCUGCCAAGCCUCAAAGAAGCUCUGCAUCUUCAUGGACUUUUCGGCAGCAGAAAGCCUCAGAGCGCUGGACAGAAGCACGACCAAACCACCUACAAGGCCUCAUUGAAAAGGAGGCUGUUGGUCAUCCCUUGUGUUGCCUCUGCCCCAAGCCGGCUGUUAUUAGGUUGGAUCACAUUAAUCUUAAACUUUAUUUACCCAGGGUAGUAGCUGAGCAUUACAGCAAUUCUCAGUGCCCUGCUAUAUAGGCUAACAUGCAUGUCUUUUGGGGUGGGAGAGAAAUUUGAUACACAGAGGAAACCUACAUGAAUGUGAAAAGUACAUCUAGGACCUUUGUAUCAAACCGAUUAUCUAACUUAAUUUAGAAUACUGUAGCUUACUGUAACUUGAGUGUAUUGUAGUUUAUGAGUUAUUCACAUGAAUAGUUGAUUAUAUUAUUAAUUUUUUUCAUCCCUAGGUGCAGAGAGUGUCUCCCUGAAGAGUGGUUCUGUGGGGACUGCGAUGUACUGCAUCACAAAAAACAGCCACUCCACAACAGGGAAUGUCUGAUACGUGGGUUCUUUGAACCCAUUCCUCCAACCACACGCGUCAUGAAAGGGGAGGAUGGAUAUUUCACUCAGGAGCAAGCUUGCAUCUUGCCAACUGUGAGUGUGUCAAACUGCGUCUGCGAUGGCACAACCUUCACUGUGUUACCAGGCAAACCAGUGAUUUUAAUUAACAUCAAUGGACGUUAUGACUUGCAUCAGCCACUGUAUGUAUGUCAGACGUGCCAGCAGCAGAGGACCCCUGACAUGAAGCACUUCCUUCAGAGUGGAUAUUGGCCAGCCUCUCUCAAUACUUCCACGUUGUACACGUUGGACCUCUUGAGCUCCUUUCAGGAACUGAAAGUAAUCUCUCCGGGAUUCUCCAGACAGGCCUUCGCAAAGCUCCUGGAGCAUCGCACCAAGUGUGGAGGACGAUCUGGACAUAUCAAAGGUGACACCCUGCAGCGCAGCUUCUUGGAGUUUUCAUAUGCUUCGUUUGAGAAGGACCAACUCUGCUGUGGUGCUGUUUUCACCUGCCCAGCCUGCACACCAGAAAUGUUGGCUGUUUCAGUAGAUGGAAACAGAAAGUUAUAUCGCUUUCGCCGAAAUGGAAGUUCUGGUGACCAUGCCUUUUUUGAAGGUUUAUUUGUGGCUGAAGACAGUGCAGUGUCUGGAUUUGUGGACAUGAUCCAGAAAGCUGUGAAAAAGACACAGGGAAGAGGCACGUGUGGGGACUCCCAAUGGACAGCAGCACGGAGACAUCAAGAAGGGCAUCCAAAUUGGAUGAAGAGGGCAUGGAGGUUGCUGUGUGUCGCCAUGGUUUCCUUCUUAAAGCCCUUAAUAUGUACAGGGGAGAAAUAUUUGCCUACCCCAUGUACCUUCAAAAGGAGCUGAUGCCAGCCAAGGCACAAUUCUUUGCCAUGGAUGUGGCUUGCAAAUACUGGCCAUACCUGGAGAAAGUUGCCAGUGUCCUUCCUGCUCUCCAGGAGCUGACCACCAUGAAACCUUUCCUCAGCGUCAUGCAUGCUCGAGCUCAUGCUACCAAGUGUGAGAUUAAAUGGAGUGGUAGGAACCAGGAAGGAGCAGGGACAACCGCCGGUGAAGAGGUGGAACAAGUUAACAGCUACCUCUCUCGUUGUGCCCUUACGACAAAAUAUAUGUCGAAAGCAGCCCGGUUGGACAUGCUCACAUUGCAUGCAAUGUUGUGGAACCAGAAGAAAGGGGAUUCCUUACACCAGGCACUUUCCACAAGAUAUGUGAAGACUUGUCAGAGGCUCCUGGAUGAGACUGCAAUGCUAGCAGAGCUAAAAACCCAGCUACAUCUCUCAGAUGAAAUGGUGUCACAGUGGAUCUCAGAUGUGAUGGAAUGGGCAGCUGGUGAGACACGAGAUGCAUCUGACAACCUGCAAGGCACCACACACACAGGGCUUCAGCGGUCCAUUGAGGGGCUCUACCUCAGUGUGAGGCAGCGGAAGCUAAAUCUGUACCGUCAGAAUGGUAUUACUACUGUAUAAUAUACACAAAAACAAAUACAUGGAAUUAGUACACAAUGUAGAAGCAAUUACGCCAAUUACAGCUCAAUCAUUACAUUCUCUUCUGUUUGAUUGUAACUGAUUAUUAUCUAGAUUGUCAUUAUUACAUUCAUCAGUCACUCACUGCAGCUUCACUUUCACUUUUUGAGUGCAAUGUAUUUUUUGCUUGACAAACAGUUCUGUCAAGAGCCUUCACCCAUCUACUUCAUGUCAUUCUAGACAGCAACAAGCUUCGCCACCGGCUUCGGAGGAAGCUGGCAGAAGAGAAAAAGCUCCUUUUUCAGGAGAUACAAAAGCACAACAAGCUUGACUCUGCAGCCAACAUCGAUGCAGCUGUGGUGGAGCACUCCCUGAGUGGAGAGAGCACUGUGUCCCCAAUAUGGCCUUGGGAGGUUCAUGACAGCGCAAACAUUGGAACCAAGAAACGGCUUCAUGACCAAGUCAUGACAACAAAGCGACUGCAGGAGGAAAAAACAUUCUGGUGAUGGAGAUGGCACAACACUGCACAUGGUUGCAGAACCUGGCAUUGGUUCUCAAAAACAAGGUGGCUGAGUCGGGUGGAGAGUCUGGAGACAAAGGAGCUGAAGGACUUUGCAGUCUCUUGAGGAGAAGAAACACAGAGGUGUCAGAGGGGUUGCAAGUGGUCCUGCAAAAAUACAAGACUGCUUUAGGUCCUGAGGCCUCUGUCAUUCAAAAUAUUGAAGAGGAAGACCAAAGUGUCCACAGCAGUCCAGACACCAGUGAGGAUGAAGAGGAAAGCAUAAUUUAGAUUGAAGCUGCACUGAGGAUGGACUAAGGAAAUGGACUUGCCUAGAAAGCACUAAUGUGAUAAAACAUGCAUUCGGGCGUCUUAUAUUAUUUCACACGCAUAGAUAUUAACUUGGCACUAUGGGGGAGGGAACCAAGGAAGGCAGGCUUUCCUAUGAUUGGCCGUUCUGAAGCGCGAUAUUUGAUUGACAGCCCUCCUCAGCCCGAAUUCAGCCAAGGGUUUCUUACUUGAAGGGACCUUCGCCCAGACGUGAUUGUCUUCUGAGUUUCAGCCAUUGACUACAAUACAGAAUGAAUGAGAGGAGGGCUGAGGAAGGCUCUCAAUCAAAUAUCGUGCUUCAGAAACAGCCAAUCACAGGAAAGCACGCCCUGCCUUGAUUCCCUCCCACAUAGUGCCAAAAUUAAAUUUGAGCGAGAGAGCAUAACAUCAUUCGCGAGAGGCUGUUUUGUAUGACCAAAGUUAUUCCCCCUCUCGCUUGCAACGAGGUAAUGCUCUCGAGGAUCUUUUUUCCUGGCUCGGGGAGCUGCGCUCUGAGUGCGGACGUGCGCACAGAUAAUUUGGGCGCUCGCAGUUAACAUCUACGUGUAUGAAAUAAUAUAAUACGCCCGAAUGCAUGUUUUAUCCCAUUAGUGCUUUAUGGCACUAAUGUGUCGCCAUACUCAACCGCUUAUCCUGGCAACUUCACACCUGACACUGCACCCUUGGGUCUUCUGCAAUACACCCACCAAGUGUAAAAUAAAUCAGAUGAACACUACUAACUGCUUCCUGUCAACUGACAGCAGUCAGCUGACCGUCAUUACAUCGCUGUAGCACGUGAACAUUCAUUGGUGCCAUACUUGACAGCUCUCCACACAGUUACAUAGCAUUGUGGUGAAUGUUCAGACCACUGUUUCAUCUCUCCCCUUCCAGCGUCACAGAUUAUCAAUCUUGGUGAUGGAGGCACUAGCAUUUUGGUGUGUUAUUUAGUUAAUGUGUGUAAAAGAUGACUUCCUCAAAUGUCUUGUUUUGUUCGGAAUUCAAAGAUAUUCAGUUGACAGAAUAUAUAGAAGUAUAAAGAAACCAGAAAAUAUUACAUUUGAGAAUCUGGAAUCUGAUCAUUUUGAAUUUUUUUAUUUUUCAAAAAAUGAAAAAGUGAUUAAUCGUUCAUCCAAACAGUUGGUUAUUAAUUAAAAUCAAAUAGUUGCAUGUCAUGUAAAAUGUAAAUCAAGGAGAACGACCAUUUUGAUUGAUAGGGUGGCGUGACUAAGUAUGUAUACAUAUAAUAUGUAUGUAAUAUGCAUUAGACUGUAUGUAACAAAGAGACAGUUGUAUAGUUAAUAUAGGUACGUACAGUAUAACUGGAUUACAUGUUCUGUUGUCAGUGCUUAUGUAAAGCUAACCCUACAGUCCAUUUUUAAGAAAUACAGCCCAAAUUGUUUGUGUGUUGGACAGAUCCAUUUGGUGCAUUUUCUCCAGUAUUGUUGCAAAAGAUGAAUACAUUAUUGCCAAAAAUGACCAUUUUUUGUUUUACUUUUCCAUCAUGUUUAGAAACAUCAUGUGACAGUUUUGUGUUUUAUAAAAAAAGAUAGCCUAUCAAGAGAAAAUAUGGGAAACAAACAUAAAUAAUGCAUAAUUAAUUAUAUUUUGAAUUGAGUUAAAUUUAACAUCACAUACAUUAUUAUUUAUGUGGAUUACAUCAAUUAACUGAUCUCCUUGUGAUAUAUUUCACCCAAAUCAUCUAUAUGCAGUAUAAUGUAGCCUAUGUUUUACUUGUAGAUUUUUGAUUCAGUAAAGAUUCAUUUUCCUAAACUUAUUUACAACCCUCCUCUUGGUGUAAGAACUACAAGUAUCCCUUCUAACUUGUAUGGUUCCUAAAAUUUCAAAGGAACGAUUGUAAUGGGCAUUGUAUUUUUAAAUACAUUGUAUUCCCCAUGAUUAGAAGUUUGCAGUAUUAAACUGGAUGAUAACAUUGUAAUUAAUAACAUUACAAUGUUACAUAUAAAUGUAGUAUUGUUCAGUACUAUAUUGGGUAUAUAUUAUGUUCUAUGAUACUUAAAUACUAAACCUAAAUUGUCAUGUUAAUAUCAAAUUGAAGUUGGGGUUGACUGACGUCUUGAAAACCUUGGGGGGUGUUCACUAGCCAGUAAGGCUAUUGCUAGUUAUCUGCGACUGCUGUCGAUUAUUAAUCCAUCCUACUGCAGGUAUACUGAACUAAAUGGUUUUGUUUGGAAGCCACACCAUAUUAAAACCAAAUUAUAAAUCACAUUUACACUUUAUAGCAGGAAAAUAGAUCGAAGGAUGAGGUCUGAAAGAUAUGUUUUGAAACGUUGCUUAAUACGUUACGCCAUUGAAC